rnacentral:tRNA from 1 species
UAGCUCAGUUGGUAGAGUGCUUGCCUUGUAUGCACAAGGCCCUGGGUUCAAUCCCCAG